rnacentral:rRNA from 1 species
AUUGAACGCUGGCGGCAGGCCUAACACAUGCAAGUCGAGCGGAGCGGCGGACGGGUGAGUAAUGCCUAGGAAUAUGCCUGGUGGUGGGCGAUAACGUCCGGAAACGGGCACUAAUACCGCAUACUAUCAGAUGAGCCUAGGUCGGAUUAGCUAGUUGGUGGGGUAAAGGCCUACCAAGGCGACGAUCCGUAACUGGUCUGAGAGGAUGAUCAGUCACACUGGAACUGGGCAACGGUCCAGACUCCUACGGGAGGCAGAAGUGGGGAAUAUUGGCAAAUGGGCGAAAGCCUGAUCCAGCAAUGCCGCGUGUGUGAAGAAGGUUUUCGGAUUGUAAAGCAUGUUAAGUUGGGAGGCGUUACCAACAGAAUAAGCACCGGCUAACUUCGUGCCAGCAGCCGCGGUAAUAC